GGGGGGGGCAAGCGUUGUUCGGAAUUACUGGGCGUAAAGGGUGCGUAGGCGGCUUUCUAAGUUGGAUGUGAAAACUCUGGGCUCAACCCAGAGACUGCAUCCAAAACUGGAGAGCUUGGGUUCUGGAGGGGAAAGCGGAAUUCCUGGUGUAGCGGUGAAAUGCGUAGAUAUCAGGAGGAACACCGGUGGCGAAGGCGGCUUUCUGGACAGAUACCGACGCUGAGGCACGAAAGCUAGGGGAGCAAACAGGAUUAGAUACCCUGGUAGUCCUAGCCCUAAACGAUGGAUACUUGCUGUGAGGGGGAUUGAAACCCCUUGUGGCGAAGCUAACGCAUUAAGUAUCCCGCCUGGGGAGUACGGUCGCAAGGCUG
rnacentral:rRNA from 1 species